rnacentral:rRNA from 1 species
CCAGACUCCUACGAGGCAGCAGUGGGGAAUAUUGGACAAUGGGGGGAACCCUGAUCCAGCGACGCCGCGUGAGUGAAGAAGUAUUUCGGUAUGUAAAGCUCUAUCAGCAGGGAAGAAAGAAAUGACGGUACCUGACUAAGAAGCCCCGGCUAACUACGUGCCAGCAGCCGCGGUAAUACGUAGGGGGCAAGCGUUAUCCGGAUUUACUGGGUGUAAAGGGAGCGUAGACGGCAGUGCAAGUCCGGAGUGAAAGCCCGGGGCUCAACCCUGGGACUGCUCUGGAAACUGUAAAGCUGGAGUGCGGGAGGGGCAGGCGGAAUUCCUAGUGUAGCGGUGAAAUGCGUAGAUAUUAGGAGGAACACCAGUGGCGAAGGCGGCCUACUGGACGGUGACUGACGCUGAGGCUCGAAAGCGUGGGGAGCAAACAGGAUUAGAUACCCUUGUA